rnacentral:lncRNA from 1 species
CGUGAUUUUCAGAACGAAACAAUUUUACCUGGUCGCAAUUUGUAAUGAAAUUUAAACUCAAAUAAAAUUAUCCGGAAAUAGAAAUAAAAAAUACAUCUGAAAAAAAAGUAUCGUUUUCUCUAUAAAUCAUUAAAUAAAUACAAAAUCAAAGGCUGACGUUAAUGUAUCAUACUGCGAAGCACUCCAUAUAAACUUAUAAGCAUCAAAGUUCCAGACUAAAUGAUUUGUGAAAUACGCAUCGUGUGUGUUGAUAUUGGUCUUAUAUUACACUGAAAUUGUCUUAUUUCUUUAGAGAGUGCUUUUGAUAAUGAUAAAAUUGAUAAUUACUUAAAAUUUGAAUUUUGAGUUAGAGAAUUAAAAAAAAAAAACCCAAAAAAAACAAUUCACAAAAUAGUUACCCGGUAGAAAAUAGUCAACUACUGCAGUUGUAAUAGUGUCAUAUUUUUUUCUGUCUAUGUACAGAUGACGCAUAAUGUUGAUUUUAACUCUUGCACUGUCGGUCUUAAAUUCGAAUAAACCAAUAAACAAAAAUUGAAUCAUAUCAAAAAAUGAAAUCUCAAACCAUAGACAUUCUUUUGAAUUCGUGCUAUACAUAUAUCUUUUAUAUUAUGUCAUAUUUAUUAUUUGAUGGCUAGUCAAUACCCCAGUUGAAUAUUCAGCUGUUACAUGACAUAUAUGACAAAACGAGAAUUUCUUUAGUUCAAGCUUCUUCCACAAAGUAUCACUACAUUCUACAAGUAUUCCAUCUCCGUUUAAACACGUACAUCAUCAAAACAAAUUACAGACCUUUAAAGGAUUUGGAACAGCUGAAUCGCAAAAUGUCAAAUGUAAAACAUCAAAAUGACAUUAUAUUGGCAAAACAAAGUGAAUUCCUGCAAAAUUGAAAUUAUACCAAAUUCUUAUGAAAUAAUGCGUACAUUUGUAUUGGCAAAGCAAAUUCCUGCAAAAUUGGAGUUAAUGCUUAUGAAAUAACGCGUACAUUUUUUGUGGAAGAGACAACUGAGACGAACAAAAUAGUAC